AUUACCCAUGUAGGCAUGUCUGUGGUUCCCUGUCAUUGGACAUGCAAGAACUGGAGGCAGAGAAAUGUGGACGUGGGGAAGUCUGGGGCCAGCCUGCUCCCUGCAGGCUCAAGAUCAACCAUUUCACAUAG